AGCUCCAGCUCCAGUGGAAUUUUCCUGACUCCCACAGACCUCAAGCUCUUGUUCUCACCCUUUCUAAGAAGGCUGCAGUCUCACAUGGUCACACCUGUGUGUGCAGCCCCACUGUGUGCUGUCCAGAUGUCAGUGCUGAGAAACCUCAGUUCACAGGAAAGAAGGGUAUGGUCACCGGGUCAGUUGAGAAGAGAAUAAUAAGCUCCUGAUGUCAGGUACAAGAGAGGAGAGUUGCUGCAAGAAAAUUCCAUACUCAAAAGCAGUCUAAUAAAGGUGGGCAUGGUGGCACACGGCUGUAAUCACAGCACUCGGAAGACUGAGGAAUGAGACCCAGCCUGGCUACGCAGUGAAACCCUGUCCCAGAAAACAACAAAAAAGACAAAUCCUCACAGAUCUCACCUGACUUCAACUGUCACCAGCACACGUGAUUUUGUUUCAUCUAUGUCCUGAGCUGUCACUCUGGACAUCACAUGAUCUCACCUGUUAGGACCUCAGCAGUGGAAAUAUAGCCUGUAAAGGGCCUGUAUGGUGCAGUCCCUCAAAUAUCUAGAAAUAAACAUUUAUAGCCUGAAUACCCAAAGUAGUGGAUACAGAUUCCGUUUUGACUUACUGCUGCUGGGAGGAGAUGGAAGUGUGCUGCAUGCUAAAAUUUUCAUAGAUCACAAAGAGAAGCCAAAGACAGGACUAGUGGGCAAAUUCGGAGAGAACACUGAACACACACAGGAGUGAGUAACACAAUAAAGAUUCCAAACAGUUCUCCAUGAGUGAGGAGGAGGCGGGAAGAGAAGGCAAAUGAUGUUCAUGUUUUACUUUUAGAAAAAUGGAGUUGGGAGUAGAGCUCAGCAGUACUGUACUUGUGUACCUUGUAACACUCACUCACACACACAUACACAAACACACACACACACACACACA